rnacentral:rRNA from 1 species
GGUUUGAUCAUGGCUCAGGACGAACGCUGGCGGCGUGCCUAACACAUGCAAGUCGAGCGAUGAAACCCUUCGGGGUGGAUUAGCGGCGGACGGGUGAGUAACACGUGGGUAACCUGCCUCAAAGAGGGGGAUAGCCUCCCGAAAGGGAGAUUAAUACCGCAUAACAUUAUUUCUUCGCAUGAAGAGAUAAUCAAAGGAGUAAUCCGCUUUGAGAUGGACCCGCGGCGCAUUAGCUAGUUGGUGAGGUAAUGGCUCACCAAGGCAACGAUGCGUAGCCGACCUGAGAGGGUGAUCGGCCACAUUGGAACUGAGAUACGGUCCAGACUCCUACGGGAGGCAGCAGUGGGGAAUAUUGCGCAAUGGGGGAAACCCUGACGCAGCAACGCCGCGUGGGUGAAGAAGGCCUUCGGGUUGUAAAGCUCUGUCUUCUGGGACGAUAAUGACGGUACCAGAGGAGGAAGCCACGGCUAACUACGUGCCAGCAGCC